UGGGGAAUUUUGCGCAAUGGGCGAAAGCCUGACGCAGCAACGCCGCGUGCGGGAUGAAGGCCUUCGGGUUGUAAACCGCUUUCAGCAGGGAUGAAAUUGACAGUACCUGCAGAAGAAGCCCCGGCUAACUACGUGCCAGCAGCCGCGGUAAUACGUAGGGGGCAAGCGUUAUCCGGAUUCAUUGGGCGUAAAGAGCGCGUAGGCGGCUUGUUAAGUCAGAUGUGAAAUCCGGGGGCUUAACCCGCGGACUGCAUCUGAAACUGGCAGGCUUGAGUCUGGUAGAGGAAAGUGGAAUUCCCAGUGUAGCGGUGAAAUGCGCAGAUAUUGGGAGGAACACCAGUGGCGAAGGCGGCUUUCUGGGCCACGACUGACGCUGAGGCGCGAAAGCUAGGGGAGCAAACAGG
rnacentral:rRNA from 1 species